CCUACGGGGCGCAGCAGUGGGGAAUAUUGGGCAAUGGGCGCAAGCCUGACCCAGCAACGCCGCGUGAAGGAAGAAGGCUUUCGGGUUGUAAACUUCUUUUCUCAGGGACGAAGAAAGUGACGGUACCUGAGGAAUAAGCCACGGCUAACUACGGGCCAGCAGCCGCGGUAAUCGGUAGGUGGCAAGCGUUAUCCGGAUUUACUGGGUGUAAAGGGCGUGUAGGCGGGGAAGCAAGUCAGAUGUGAAAUCCACGGGCUCAACCUGUGGCCUGCAGUUGAAACUGUUUUUCUUGAGUACUGGAGAGGCAGACGGAAUUCCUGGUGUAGCGGUGAAAUGCGUAGAUAUUAGGAGGAACACCAGUUGCGAAGGCGGUCUGCUGGACAGCAACUGACGCUGAGGCGCGAAAGCGUGGGGAGCAAACAGGAUUAGAUACCCUUGUAGUC
rnacentral:rRNA from 1 species